rnacentral:rRNA from 1 species
GGGUCAGUAGGUUGGUCGUGCCACCGGUACGUACUGGUCUCACUGAUUCCUCCUUCCUGAAGAACCGUAAUGCCAUUAAUUUGGUGUUGCGGGGAAACAGGACUGUUACUUUGAAAAAAUUAGAGUGUUUAAGGCAAGCUAACUCUUGAAUACAUUAGCAUGGAAUAAUGAAAUAGGACGAUCGAUCCUAUUUUGUUGGUUUCUAGGAUUGACGUA